rnacentral:rRNA from 1 species
UGGGGAAUAUUGCACAAUGGGCGCAAGCCUGAUGCAGCCAUGCCGCGUGUGUGAAGAAGGCCUUCGGGUUGUAAAGCACUUUCAGCGGGGAGGAAGGCGAUAAGGUUAAUAACCUUGUCGAUUGACGUUACCCGCAGAAGAAGCACCGGCUAACUCCGUGCCAGCAGCGGCGGUAAUACGGAGGGUGCAAGCGUUAAUCGGAAUUACUGGGCGUAAAGCGCACGCAGGCGGUCUGUCAAGUCGGAUGUGAAAUCCCCGGGCUCAACCUGGGAACUGCAUUCGAAACUGGCAGGCUAGAGUCUUGUAGAGGGGGGUAGAAUUCCAGGUGUAGCGGUGAAAUGCGUAGAGAUCUGGAGGAAUACCGGUGGCGAAGGCGGCCCCCUGGACAAAAACUGACGCUCAGGUGCGAAAGCGUGGGGAGCAAACAGG